ensembl:lncRNA
UCUAGAACGAACUAUUCACAGCAUAAAACUUUUACGUCAGUUCUGUUUGUAGAAAAAGCUCUCAUAGCUUGAGUCAUCCAUCCAUUAUCUAUAGAUAUCACAGGGGGCGGAGCCUACCAGCUGACUAAAAGAGAAGGUGUGUGGCAGAGGCUGGCAGCAGGUGUGGCGGAUUCCAAUCGGCUGAUCACGUGCAGGUGGGAGUCGUCUAAUCAAGCAGACCGGCUUCCCUUUAAAACCUGAAGCGAGUCGUCUUUUGGUGCUGACCGUCUCCUAAUGAACAUACUGACUCCCACCUGCUGCUGUUGUUCUUGUCAUACCUGGCUGUUGGACUUACCACCUGGCUGAGGCUUCCUGGCUUCCACUGGACCUUUGGAUUCUCCAGGGUUUCUCUAAAUGCAGAGGAGAACUCUGGCUGCUGCCACGCCACCAAGGAUGCCAUUCUGUUGGGUUGGAAAUCCGCUGCCACAGUCUACUUACCUGAGACACCAAGAUUACCACUUGUUGGCCAUUGAUACACCUGGGACUCUGUCUUUCCCUCUAAAGACUGGUCAAAGCUGAUUUCCAGAUCCAUUACACCAGAGAGUCAGUCAAGUUCUCCCCCUAGCUUCACCAGAUAAUAGUUUAUCUGUUCAUGUUUAUUCUGCUAAGG